AUUGAACGCUGGCGGAAUGCUUUACACAUGCAAGUCGAACGGCAGCACGGACUUCGGUCUGGUGGCGAGUGGCGAACGGGUGAGUAAUAUAUCGGAACGUGCCCAGUCGUGGGGGAUAACGUAGCGAAAGCUACGCUAAUACCGCAUACGAUCUACGGAUGAAAGCGGGGGAUCGCAAGACCUCGCGCGAUUGGAGCGGCCGAUAUCAGAUUAGGUAGUUGGUGAGGUAAAGGCUCACCAAGCCGACGAUCUGUAGCUGGUCUGAGAGGACGACCGGCCACACGGGGACUGAGACACGGCCCAGACUCCUACGGGAGGCAGCAGUGGGGAAUUUUGGACAAUGGACGCAAGUCUGAUCCAGCCAUUCCGCGUGCAGGACGAAGGCCUUCGGGUUGUAAACUGCUUUUGUACAGAACGAAAAGGUCUCUAUUAAUACUAGGGGCUCAUGACGGUACUGUAAGAAUAAGCACCGGCUAACUACGUGCCAGCAGCCGCCGUAA
rnacentral:rRNA from 1 species